AGGUCUUGACAUCUUCUGCCAACCUAAGAGAUUAGGCGUUCCCUUCGGGGACAGAAUGACAGGUGGUGCAUGGUUGUCGUCAGCUCGUGUCGUGAGAUGUUGGGUUAAGUCCCGCAACGAGCGCAACCCUUAUUAUCAGUUGCCAGCAUUAAGUUGGGCACUCUGGUGAGACUGCCGGUGAUAAACCGGAGGAAGGUGGGGAUGACGUCAAAUCAUCAUGCCCCUUAUGACCUGGGCUACACACGUGCUACAAUGGACGGUACAACGAGUCGCGAACUCGCGAGGGUAAGCUAAUCUCUUAAAGCCGUUCUCAGUUCGGACUGUAGGCUGCAACUCGCCUACACGAAGUUGGAAUCGCUAGUAAUCGCGGAUCAGCAUGCCGCGGUGAAUACGUUCCCGGGCCUU
rnacentral:rRNA from 1 species